rnacentral:rRNA from 1 species
GCAUAUCAAUAAGCGGAGGAAAAGAAACUAACAAGGAUUCCCUUAGUAACGGCGAGUGAAGAGGGAAGAGCUCAAAUUUUAAAUCUAUCAUGUUGUACAUGAUCGAGUUGUAAUUUGAAGAAGCGUUUUCUCGUACUUUAUGAUCAGUAUAAGUUCUCUUGGAACAGGACAUCAUAGAGGGUGAUAAUCCCGUCUGUUACUGAUUGUGAGGUUCGUUUAUGAUACGCUUUCAAAGAGUCGAGUUGUUUGGGAUUGCAGCUCCAAAUGGGUGGUAAACAUCACCUAAGGCUAAAUAUUUGCGAGAGACCGAUAGCGAACAAGUACCGUGAGGGAAAGAUGAAAAGAACUUUGAAAAGAGAGUUAAAAAGUAUGUGAAAUUGUUGAAAGGGAAACGAUUGAAGUCAGUCGUGCAGUCAUCAAUUCAGCGGUUAACAUUUUAUGUUUCCGUGUAAUUUGGUGUCUGUUGGUUAGCAUCAAUUUUGAUUGUUAUAAAAAGGUUAAGGGGAUGUGGCUCCUUCGGGAGUGUUAUAACCCUUAGCGUAAUGUGACGAUUAGGAUUGAGGUUUGCAACGAAUACCUUUUAGGGCAGUUUCACCUGGCCUCUCGUGGAAUUAUAGAUAGUUAAGAGCAUGCUCUUACUGUCUAUGAUUCUACGAAAAGGUUGGAGUGUAAAACUAAUUCGUUAAGGAUGUUGACGUA